rnacentral:lncRNA from 1 species
UAAUAAUUGUUGAUCUGAAGGUGGAGAAAAUGACAACACCAACAUAUACUCUUUUAUGCAUACGAUCAUUCAUGUUCUUACUAUGUUUCAGCAUUGCCUUUGGUCGCAAGAACCUAGAAGAUAAGCUCGGUGACACUCUAUUUGCACCCAAACCUGUUGAAGCAACCGAGCUUAGAGCCGCUUUAGUUACUAAUUCCGAAGCUACCGACAUUUCAAGUAGUAUUGGUUUGGGAGAAGUUGGAAGUCAAGAGAUGCAUCACAUUUACAUAGAAACAAGUAAAGAUUCGAGUCUCGGAAAUAAACAAGACAAUAUAAACUCUGUGCCUAGGAAGAUUAUAAGGGGUACCGUUUCCAUCUCAUUCUCAUUUCCUAUCAUCAAGAUUCAGGUUCCUAUUCCGAAGCCAAAUAUUACGGUGGCUGACAUAAACCAAUUCAAUGAAGAAGAGAUGAGUAAAGGUAUUGUCAUAACUCCAACGAAGACUAAUGAGUUUGGUAUUUCCCUUGGAAAUGACGGUGCAGAGCUCGGAUACAGCUACCAAUAAGCAGCCCCAAGAACCACAAUAUUGAAGGCCUUGCCAGCUUCCUAAGGGUAGGUAGUGCUAAAGAUUGAAGUUACUAUAAAAGCAUAUGAUAAAAUUAUGGUUUUAGAGACAAAGAAGUUGUUGGUGGCCAACGAGUAUAAACAAAAUAUGUAGCGAUUUUGUAACAAAACCUUGCCAAAACGUUUGACUCUAGAAUGAAAAAAGGAUAUAUGUGAAACAUUUUCUUACAUCUAUUUAGUAUGCUGAAAGUAUCUAUGAUUUAUAGUAAAAAUAGUCAUAUACUUAUCUUAAUUACACCUGAGUUUAGGAGAUGUGAAAGAAAAAUGAAAAAAGGAACAACUAAACAUUUCUAUCUUAACAUUCUCUUCUCAUUGGCAAUGCGAGGAUGAUCUUGAGAGUGAGUCUGUUGUUUCUGUCUGUAGCCUUUGAGAAAGUUGUUGGAGAUAUUGAAGCACAAUGUCGCAAGAUUGGUGUUUCAACACUACUAGAAUUUCCACUAGCUCCCCAUUUCGAAUAAGCUCAAGCUCAAGCUCAAGCUCGGUAAUUUGAACUGGAGAUAUGUUUCGGAAACAUCAAGCACCUGGUCAUUGUAAUCUUCAAAACAGAUGCAAUUGUGUAUGGAUUUUGUGUCAAAAAAAUAGUUUGGAUAUAUAUGGAAGAAAGGACAAGACAUUCUAAUAUAGCUUCCAACAUCUCUGUGAAGUUGAGUAUGAGAUCGCUAUAUAUUAUAAUUUAAACGACGGAGAUUGACUAAAUCAAUAUUAUGCUCUCCGAUUUGAUGAAAAUACGCAUUUCUAGACCAGAAAAAAGAAUUAAUACUAUGAUCGGUGUUUGACAUUUUCAUGUAUUCUCUUCUCACUAAUACUCAGGACAUUCUAUCAAUAUAUAGGAUCAAUGGCAUAACAAUUUAUAAUUGCGUUUACCUUUCGCGAUUAAACCAAUAGUUUAAAGACUUGCAAUUUUGUUUACGUUUUGUACGAUGACUUUCAAAUUUGUAGAAAAAAGUUUUCCGUUAAUCAAAAAAUGAUUAAAUAUUUGCUUUGACAACUUCUUUUUCGGGUUGGAAAACCGUAGUUGACAAAAAAAAGGACUAGACGUUUGUUCCUAUUUUUCGCUCAUCAAGAUUAUGCGACCAGAAUAAUAUAAUAAUACAAUUAUACUUAUUAUAAUUUACAUAAAUAUUAAACCUAUAAUAAAUAUCCUUUACAAAAAUAAUGAGCAUUGUGCUAGAAAAUCCUAUCAAACAUAUUUUUAUUUGAUUUUUCAAACAGUCUAGUGUAUACCAUCUUAACAUAUUAAUUUUCUAUUUUAGAGAAGACAAUAUUUCAUAAAAACACGAAUGCGUUUAAAUCUCAACUCAUUCAAACAUUAUGAGCCUAAAUUCAUGGCAUGAAUUCAGUAACAUGAAACUUUUGCAAAUUGAAAUUUUCUCUUUGUACCAUCAAAUUCACACUUUUUUUUUUUCUCUUCUAUUUUUGAACUCAUUGCCUUCUUCUUAUAUAUUAGACAAAUUGUAAAUAACUGCCAAUUUUAAGGUGGAGAAAAUGACAAUACCAACAUAUAACCUUUUAUGCAUAGGAUCAUUCAUGUUCUUACUAUGUUUCAGCAUUACCUUUGGUCGCAAGAACCUAGAAGAUAAGCUCGGUGACACUCUAUUUGCACCCAAACCUGUUGAAGCAACCGAGCUUAGAGCCGCUUUAGUUACUAAUUCCGAAGCUACCGACAUUUCAAGUAGUAUUGGUUUGGGAGAAGUUGGAAGUCAAGAGAUGCAUCACAUUUACAUAGAAACAAGUAAGGAUUCGAGUCUCGGAAAUAAACAAGACAAUAUAAACUCUAUGCCUAGGAAGGUUAUAAGGGGUAUCGUUUCCAUCUCAUUCUCAUUUCCUAUCAUCAAGAUUGGGGUUCCUAUUCCGAAGCCAAAUAUUACGGUGGCUGCCAUAAACC